AUCAUGUCGUAUUUGUAUUUGUUAUAAUCGUGUUAUACGUGUAUCUCAACACGAUAUGAGUAUGACCGGCCAACCGUUUUUGCCACCCCACCGAUCAGGUGACCUUCUUGCUGGAUCUUCCUAGCAGUAGGUUAAAGCUGCAAGCCCUUUAUUUUUAUUUCUCUUCUUGGUAGCAAGCUGGAGGCAAGGAACUCUCAAGUUCAACGUGCUUAACCUGGGGAAAUCUAAGGAUGGAAGACCCCCUCGAAAGUUCGUAUAGUCCUAUCAAGGCAAGGAACUUUCAAGUUAAGUGUGCUUGACCUGGAGAAAUCCAAAGAUGGGUGACCCCUUGGGAAAUUCAUAUAGAUCCAUCAGGAUAAAUUAUUUCGGUCCUUCCUAUCGCUCGAGCGAGAUGUUACGCAAGAGGUCUAUACUAAGACAUAAGUAUCAGCUAAAGUUGUCGAUCCUUUCAAUCAAUUCUUUUCCUUCCCAUCACUUCCAUAUUUGCACAGCAUAGCUCUGUCUCGUGUUGGUGUUGUUUAAUUAGUUCUUAAUACGAACUUGAUUGCUCACAUGUAUUUGACCAAUUGAAAUUAGUAUGUUUUCAUAUAUAAAUAUCAGGUGAUGGAACACGA